rnacentral:rRNA from 1 species
AGUCGAGGGGCAGCGGGGCGGCAGGCUUGCCUGCCGUUGCCGGCGACCGGCGCACGGGUGAGUAACACGUAUGCAACCUGCCCGUGGCAGGGGGAUAAGCGGGGGAAACCCCGUCUAAUACCGCGUAACGCGGCCUAGGGACAUCCCAAGGCCGCCAAAGGGAGCAAUCCCGGCCACGGAUGGGCAUGCGGCGCAUUAGCUAGUCGGCGGGGUAACGGCCCACCGAGGCGACGAUGCGUAGGGGUUCUGAGAGGAAGGCCCCCCACACUGGUACUGAGACACGGACCAGACUCCUACGGGAGGCAGCAGUGAGGAAUAUUGGUCAAUGGGCGCGAGCCUGAACCAGCCAAGUCGCGUGAGGGAGGACGGCCCUACGGGUUGUAAACCUCUUUUGCCGGGGAGCAACGGGCGUCACGUGUGGCGCCACUGAGAGUACCCGGAGAAAAAGCAUCGGCUAACUCCGUGCCAGCAGCCGCGGUAAUACGGAGGAUGCGAGCGUUAUCCGGAUUUAUUGGGUUUAAAGGGUGCGUAGGCGGAUCGUUAAGUCAGUGGUCAAAUUGAGGGGCUCAACCCCUUCCCGCCAUUGAAACUGGCGUUCUUGAGUGGAAGAGAAGUAUGCGGAAUGCGUGGUGUAGCGGUGAAAUGCAUAGAUAUCACGCAGAACCCCGAUUGCGAAGGCAGCAUGCCGGCUUCCGACUGACGCUGAAGCACGAA